rnacentral:rRNA from 1 species
CACGUAGGCACCAAGCGUUGUCCGGAUUUACUGGGCGUAAAGCGCACGUAGGCGGAUCGUUAAGUCGGGGGUGAAAUCCUGGAGCUCAACUCCAGAACUGCCUUCGAUACUGGCGAUCUAGAGUCCGGAAGAGGUGAGUGGAACUCCUAGUGUAGAGGUGGAAUUCGUAGAUAUUAGGAAGAACACCAGUGGCGAAGGCGGCUCACUGGUCCGGUACUGACGCUGAGG